UUUUAUUUGAGAGUUUGAUCCUGGCUCAGGAUGAACGCUGGCGGCGUGCCUAACACAUGCAAGUUGAGCGAUUUACUUCGGUAAAGAGCGGCGGACGGGUGAGUAACGCGUGGGUAACCUACCCUGUACACACGGAUAACAUACCGAAAGGUAUGCUAAUACGGGAUAAUAUAUUUGAGAGGCAUCUCUUAAAUAUCAAAGGUGAGCCAGUACAGGAUGGACCCGCGUCUGAUUAGCUAGUUGGUAAGGUAACGGCUUACCAAGGCGACGAUCAGUAGCCGACCUGAGAGGGUGAUCGGCCACAUU
rnacentral:rRNA from 1 species